rnacentral:rRNA from 1 species
CAACCUGCCCACCACUUGGGGAUAACCUUGCGAAAGUAAGACUAAUACCCAAUGAUAUCUCUAGAAGACAUCUGAAAGAGAUUAAAGAUUUAUCGGUGAUGGAUGGGGAUGCGUCUGAUUAGCUUGUUGGCGGGGUAACGGCCCACCAAGGCAACGAUCAGUAGGGGUUCUGAGAGGAAGGUCCCCCACAUUGGAACUGAGACACGGUCCAAACUCCUACGGGAGGCAGCAGUGAGGAAUAUUGGUCAAUGGACGAGAGUCUGAACCAGCCAAGUAGCGUGCAGGAUGACGGCCCUAUGGGUUGUAAACUGCUUUUAUAAGGGAAUAAAGUGAGUCUCGUGAGACUUUUUGCAUGUACCUUAUGAAUAAGGACCGGCUAAUUCCGUGCCAGCAGCCGCGGUAAUACGGAAGGUCCGGGCGUUAUCCGGAUUUAUUGGGUUUAAAGGGAGCGUAGGCCGGAGAUUAAGCGUGUUGUGAAAUGUAGACGCUCAACGUCUGCACUGCAGCGCGAACUGGUUUCCUUGAGUACGCACAAAGUGGGCGGAAUUCGUGGUGUAGCGGUGAAAUGCUUAGAUAUCACGAAGAACUCCGAUUGCGAAAGGCAGCUCACUGGAGCGCAACUGACGCUGAAGCUCGAAAGUGCGGGUAUCGAACAGGAUUAGAUACCCUGGUAGUCCGCACGGUAAACGAUGGGAUGCCCGCUGUUGGGUCUGAAUAGGUCAGCGGCCAAGCGAAAGCAUUAAGCAUCCCACCUGGGGGAGUACGCCGGCAACGGUCAAACUCA